UUGCUUUUUCAGCACAUAUACUAAAACUGGAAUGAUACAGAGAAGAUUAGCAUGGCCUCUGUGCAAAUUUGUGUCAUGUUCCUAAAAGUUUUAAAAAAUACAU
ensembl:snRNA U6 U6 spliceosomal RNA